GACGAACGCUGGCGGCGUGCUUAACACAUGCAAGUCGUACGGUAAGGCCCUUUCGGGGGUACACGAGUGGCGAACGGGGGCGUAACACGUGCGUAACCUGCCCACAACUUUGGGAUAACGCUAGGAAACUGGUGCUAAUACUGGAUAUGUGCUCCUGCUGCAUGGUGGGGGUUGGAAAGCUCCGGCGGUUGUGGAUGGACUCGCGGCCUAUCAGCUUGUUGGUGGGGUAGUGGCCUACCAAGGCGGCUACGGGUAGCCGGCCUGAGAGGGUGACCGGCCACAUUGGGACUGAGAUACGGCCCAGACUCCUACGGGAGGCAGAAGUGGGGAAGAUUGCACAAUGGGCGCAAGCCUGAUGCAGAAACGCCGCGUGCGGGAUGACGGCCUUCGGGUUGUAAACCGCUUUCAGCAGGGACGAAGCUUUUUGUGACGGUACCUGCAGAAGAAGCACCGGCUAACUACGUG
rnacentral:rRNA from 1 species